GUUGAACGCUGGCGGCAUGCUUUACACAUGCAAGUCGAACGGUAACAGGCCUUCGGGUGCUGACGAGUGGCGAACGGGUGAGUAAUGCAUCGGAACGUGCCCAAUCGUGGGGGAUAACGUAGCGAAAGUUACGCUAAUACCGCAUAAGCCCUGAGGGGGAAAGCAGGGGAUCGCAAGACCUUGCGCGAAUGGAGCGGCCGAUGUCAGAUUAGCUAGUUGGUGGGGUAAAGGCCUACCAAGGCGACGAUCUGUAGCGGGUCUGAGAGGAUGAUCCGCCACACUGGGACUGAGACACGGCCCAGACUCCUACGGGAGGCAGCAGUGGGGAAUUUUGGACAAUGGGCGCAAGCCUGAUCCAGCCAUGCCGCGUGCGGGACGAA
rnacentral:rRNA from 1 species